AUGGCCGUCAUGAAUGCACUGUAUGAGGGACGGUUCUCUUCUUUUGGAGACCUGAACAGCUCCAUUCUCACGUUGCUGCCUAAAAAUAGUGAUUCUCUGGACAUCAGCGAUUUCAGGCCGAUUAACCUCGUCCAUGGUGCAACGAAGAUUUUCGCCAAGGUUUUAGCUGUUCGGCUGGCCCCUAUGUUACCGGCUCUAAUAUCGCAGGCUCAGAGUGCUUUCGUCAGCAGACGCAACAUCCACGAGAACUUCAAAUUUGUGCGCAACACUGCUAAGCUGCUACACAGUAAGAAGCUACCGUCGGUACUCAUGAAAAUAGAUAUUUCU
rnacentral:rRNA from 1 species